ensembl:lncRNA
CUCUCUCAGAAGAGGAUGUGGGCAGGACAGGCCCUUCCAGAUCACACAGGGCCACAUUCACUCUUGGUCUUUGUUCAAAGCAGAAGUGAAGUAAUUCUAAUUACUCCACACUUAAACAAAAGGUGAGAGCUAUGUUUUACUAAAAAUACACUUAAAUGGGGGUAGGCUGCCUAUUGGCCUCUUCGCAUGUGCACUGAUUUAUGAGUCAGAUUCACCGUUUGACAUCCGGGCUCUGAGACAUGAGACGCAGGAAAUAGGUUUCGGUCAGUGGAAGCAGAGCAGAAGGAGGUGGGCUCAGGGAGCUGGGACAGCGGACAGGGGCAGAGGGCCGGCGCCCUGCUGGGUGGCAGCAGCUGAAGGCACUUUUUCUCAUUUCACACCCUUUCCCGCGGUGGGCUCUGCCUCGUGCCUCACUUGCCUCGUGGGUAAAGUGGAAUGAGAGUGUGAGUAACGCCUGACCCUGACGAGCAGUGAGAGCUGCACAAAUUAGAUCAUGUCUCUAAAACCCGCACGGGAGGCUGGUCUAGGGGUGACCCACGCAAAUGAAAGUAAUAUUGUUAUGAAGUUUCAUCUUCAAGGAGAACAGUUACAUCAUGAUCAUUUCUUUCCCUAUUCAAUUAUGGCCAGCUGCUUCUUAGGAAAAAAAAAGGGACUGCAUUUACUGUAGGUCCUGCUUUGUAUUUGCCCCAAAUCCCAGCCACGUGUUUCUCCUGCUCGCAGUAGAGAGCCAUGGAAAUAGACAGCAUCAUAAAACAGAUAUUUCAAGGCUGUGUGAGCCCCGCCCCACCCUUUCUGGAAGGCGAGGCAUUGGCGACAUUUAACCACCUGUAGGGGCUGAGCUCCUUCACAGCUGCUGCUCCUUUUCUGAACAAACAGCCAAGCUCAGCUGGGAGGCGUCCUUAAAGGUCAGCUCCUCCUCCCUCUAAAGCUUGAAUUUCUCCCCAUGCAUCACUAGUUGUGCCUUUUUUUUCCUGCAAAACCAGUCACCACACUUGAAGCAGACUGAGCACCCACUGCCCAUGGGGUAGGAAGAGUGGUAAUACAAUGGCUGGAGGUCUGGCCCCAUGAGCUGGGUCCUCCUGUAGUAUUUUCAAGCUUGGAAAAGGUACAGCACUGAGAUAAGGGGAGGAAACCCUAGCCACAGAGCUGCCUCAAAUCCUAUGGCCACAAGGAGCUGAAUGUUUCCAAGAACCAUGAGAACGAGGAAGCAGACACUUCCCCAGUCAAGCCUCCAGAGAGAACCCAAUCCUGGUCGACAUCUUGAUGACAGGCUUGUGAGAUCCUAAGCAGAGGACCCAUUAAGCUGUGCUCACACUACUGAUUCACAGAAAUUGUGAGGUGAUUUUGAUUUGGCUGUCUGGAUGCUGAAGAAUUCCUUUAUUUAUUUAUUUUUAGUCCUUGACGUUCAAUAAUGGCUCACUAUUACUUUGGUUUGAACAGAAGUUCGUUUUAAGAACCUUGAAGACAGAUUUGUGUCCUCCGCAAGUCAAAGUCAAGGCAGCUGCUUCUGGGGGCUGUAGCACCGCUGCUAGAACCAAGAGGUGAGGGCCGCAGAAGGCACCCUGCAAGGUCACUGCAGAUGCAGCUGAGGAGAGGAGUGUAGGGUCAUCUAGAAGAGGCAGCUCUGCCCCCAGGAGCGGGAGAUUUCACCAUCAGACUCCAGAAAUUCUGGUCCCAGAGGCAAGAUGUCCCUACUGUGAGCCUGAUGUUUAAACAUGAACUUCACCUGACUCCCCCUCUUCUGAUUUCAUGUCCUCAUGGCAAUUUUCUGGCGCCAGUGAAGGGCUGCUCAUGUAGAGAGAGAAUGCAAAAAAAAAAAAAAAAAAUACAGAUUUUAAAUAUUUCUGAGUCUCUCACAGUGAUUUCUCAGGGUAAUGAGUGGCUUCUGAUUACCAUUUGGUUUUCCCAGGCUACAGGGAGAAAAGGAGAUUGUUAUGCCAACCUGAAUAAUUCCAGUCUGUGUGACAAUUCUAUUUCUCACUUUAAAUUAAUAUAUUGCCAGCCUGAUGCCUUCCCCAGGUCUUCUGCACAUUUUAAUGGUGUCCUUGUUGUGGUCUUGCUUGUCUCAGAUCGACCUGUUCUUUUGAAAAGCCAGAUACAAAAGCAUAGAAGCAAGGGUUGAAGAAUCAGCAUUUGAAUUUCAGAAUGCUCGAGAGAAGGAGAUUUUGUUGAAGUUGGGUGACUUAACAAACCGACUUAACGAGCACUGUGUUUAUUUUGCGUAAACAUAAUCCCAG